UACGUAGGGGGCGAGCGUUGUCCGGAUUUAUUGGGCGUAAAGAGCGUGUAGGCGGCCAGGUAGGUCUGCUGUGAAAACUCGAGGCUCAACCUCGAGACGUCGGCGGAAACCAUCUGGCUAGAGUCCGGAAGAGGAGAGUGGAAUCCGUGGUGUAGCGGUGAAAUGCGCAGAGUAUCAGGAAGAACACCCGUGGCGAAGGCGGCUCUCUGGGACGGUACUGACGCUGAGACGCGAAAGCGUGGGGAGCGAACAGG
rnacentral:rRNA from 1 species